AUCUCGGAUUGAGCUUGGCACUCGUUGUGAUGGAGGCAUUCGCGCGAAGGGGUGUCGGUAUUGGUUGUAGUUUAUUCGGUGACACUUGGGCCGAUGAAGGGGUGUUUGUUCAGUAUGCUUGUACUCCUAGCAUAACCUACGGUGUCUGUUCAUUAUGCGCAUAGUCUCAGCGUUAUCUGUGGUAUGUUAACAGCAUGCACAUGGUCUUAGCAUUGUGUGUAGUGUCCGAAACUGUAUCCCGAUGCAUGGUAUGAGUGUACUCUUUUGUUCUCACAUGCAACGAUACGAUAGUGCAACUCUGGCUUACCAACACUGUAAUCGUCAUGGCUCGCUGGGCUCGUAGCUGUUUGGGCCGCAAGAUAGGCGGCACCUUAGAUGGUAUGAUGUGAUACAAGAGUCAAGUUAAAUUGGCUUGAUGAGUCGGCGCUGAGGAUUAGGGUUGACCUAUGACGCUGGGGCCAUUCGUGGGCCCGCAGCUACCAAAACAAUUUGUACAUGACGGCGACGGAGAGAGCUACUGCAUGUGAUCAGGGAACGGUGAACCUGAGCGAGCAGGGUAUGUUUCAGUGGGGAGGUUCGGGGAUCUGAGGUGUCAGUCUGAAGGCGAAAAAGUAGUACAGGUCGUUUUGUGACACCGAUGACAUUGUUUUGUCUUCCUGGUUGUUCUCCUGGGAAGAAAAGAAACACUGUUGGAUUGUGUGAUACCGGUUGGAUUGUCGAGUGUGAGUAGUCGUGUGUAGAGGACAGUGUGGUACAGAAGUUCGUGAAAGCAAAGGCGAUGUCGGGGUCCGGCAUUGGUAUGCGAAUGAAGUAGGGAGUGGAUGUAGGUGGAGGUAGCUUACGACGACCCAGGAGGACAGCAAUUGUUGGUAUUCAUUUCGAUGUCGAAUUCCACGAGUCGGUUUAUGUCUCGUUGAGAAUGAAGAUUAGGUAGAGCAACUUCAGCAAGGGUGCGAAUGCGACAGACGGCAGAAUCACUUCCUUGAGGGCAGGUGGGAAUUGCGGUGAAAGCUUUUGCAAGAGUACACUAUUGUAAUCCUUGCCGAGCAGGGAUCAGAAGCUCAUGGUACGGUUCAUCACAGAAGGGUGCUUCCAAUCACAAGUCACAAAAGGAGAAAUGGCAACCUUCGUGGAGGUGUGCUGAUAGUAAUGUUGCUCGGUGAAGGAGUAGAGUAGAGCUGCUGUAUGUUGGAGUCGUUCUCAGGGAGCGCGAACCGGAGCAGUGAUUUGAGCAGGGAAAUGCGGAGAACAGGAAAGUCGGGAGGACGGGAGGAGUGCCAGGAUUGCGAGCGCAUUCCGGGCAUAUAUAUAUAUAUAUAUAUCCACACACUUGGGCCUCUUGGUCAUGGUUGCAGUGGAUAUGGGGUGGAGCUUCGGAAGUGAGGAGUUCCAGUGAAUUGCAGAAUGUUGGAGUGCGAGCAGGCGCUGUGAGGUCUUGGUUGGAGACAUGGGUUUGGGGAGGGAGACAUUGCACACUUGUAUUAGGGGCUGCAGCUUCGCAUACUAGUUUUAGGGGAUGCGGCUUUGCACACUCUUCGUGACGAGCAUGAACGUUCCGACGCUGUGAGGAGAGAGGGAAGGACGCGAGUUGGGGAGCAAGUGGGAGGGGGAACUGACAAAAGUGACCACGAGGGGAUUCGAACCCCCGACCUUCAGAUCCGAAGUCUGACGCGCUAAUCCACUGCGCUACGCGGCCGGGCGAGUGAAACGAUAGAAGCGAUCAAUCGAGGAUCGUUUGUAUACUAAGAAUUUCGAUGUAUGAUUGGAGAGCAGGUUUUGCACUGGUAGACUGUUCUUCUAUGUCGCAAUGCUCUACUAGUGCAUGUGAAAUGGCAAGCAUUAUGACAUGCUACUGCCAAGGCUAAGGAUGCAAGGUUAUGAGAACUAAUGAUUAUCCCGAUUGAUAUUGAACUUGGGAUGCUUCAUGCUUAUGUACAUUCGUGCACUUUUAGAUUUGAAGACUGAGAGGGAAUUUAUUUGCUGAACAUGAUGUGUAGUUUAACCUUGUGACAUAUUAUAUGUUUUUUCAUGUAUAAUCGGGUUGAUCCAUGUAUGCAGCAAAUACGAGGAGGCGUGAGAAUUUGGAUAGAAAAGUUGGUUUACUUGUGAUUUGAAGGAAGGAAUGAGGUAAAAAGGUUCUGAAGCUCUCUCAAGUGGAAAUGUUGGUUAUCACAAGUUGCACAAUUGAAAUCACACAAUUGAAGAGCAUGAUGAAUGACACCUUAGCAGAACAAGUAUUGCCCUUUCCUACUACUUCUCUCUUAGUAAAGCUAUCAAAGCCAGUUUGUAGUAAGUUUGUGAUCAUGAUAAGGUGCAAGUCAUCAAAGUAUAUACCGCUUCUUCUUCUUCCUCUUUUUUUAUCCCAAACUUGAGACAACAAAAAAUUGCCAAAAAACAAAAAACGAAAAAAGAAAAAGAUAGUUAGUGCCAUUCGGAAGAACGUGUGUUCCAAGAAGGUACAAUUGGUUCUUGUGGUCUUUUUGUGCUACGUGGGUCGAAAUAUAUCUU